AUGCUACCAGCUCUCCCUGGUGCUUCUGUGUGCUGCCGAUGCUCUCUGCAGUGCAGCUGUGUUUUUGGUCUGGUAAGUCCUCUUCGACAUGGAUGUUCCUAUUCACUGCCUAUACUUGGAAGCUGCGGAAUUCUUCCAAAGAAAAUGAAUGCUGCACAGCCUUUCUGUGCAUACCAUGAAGAUGUAUCUAAUCUACAAAAACUUUCUAGGAAUGACAAGACUUUUCCAAGAUGCCUGUGCUGGUUUAAGUGCUGUUUGAAUCCACAUUGCAGUGGGCUUUACACAGGUUGGCUUCUGAUUGCUGCUUUUUCAAAUAUAACACAAAUGUAGACAAAAUAAUACUGAAUUCCCAUCAAAAGGGUCACAUAUUGCUGUGCUGUGGCAGAGGAGCAACCUGACAUGCAGGGGAGUUCUCUAAAUAUGUAUUUUUCUUGCAGUUCCAAAGCAAGUGUUGAAUCCCACAUUGUAACCUGUUUCUCAUUUUAUAUUCCCACCCAACUCUUCUGAUUGUUAAAGUAGCUUGAAAACAAGCCAGGCACAGCCUGCCCUUUCACAUGUGUUAGGCAAAACCACAAACAACAACUGCGCUAAAACUUGCCUGGAACAAGUUCAUUAACACAGCCCAACGAGACCUGACAUACAACCAGAAAAACAGGAAAAUAUUUUAGCAUUUGGGAGUCAUUAUUAGAAGUGUCUUUUUUUCUUUUUUCUUCCCCCCCCCCCCCCCCUUUUUUUUUUCCUCCUCCCUUCUUUCUCCUCCCCUUGGGGUUAACAUCUGUUAAAGGCAUUAUUUUUCAAAAGCACCCAGUGAAGUGGGAAGAUGAAGCCCUAGUGCUGAAGGUACUGGGGUGUCCCAGCUGGCUCAGCAUCUGCCCUCCCUGUCUGGGCUGCAUGAGGGGCUCCUCCAGAGGCUGAUUCAGAGCAUCUAAUUUAACCUCUUCUGGAGAGCAUUCAGAGGUGUCUGCCUCUUUGAUGAGUGAAGUAAAAGACUGAGGGCAAUGACUGGUUAAUCUUAGGGGAAUUCAUACCACACACGGAGGUGCCAGAGGCAUUUUAAUAAUGGGACUUGAAACCCUUGGCUCCUGAUAACCGGACUCGGUUCGCUUCUGCCAAGGUGAGCAUCCAACAUUAAGGCACUCCAAAUCAUUAAUAUCCCUAGCGUAAACCUGUGCUUGGCUGGCUCCGAGCUCUUCUGAGGGAGGGGACCAGGCUUUCUUUCCACAACCCCUGCUCAGAAUAUUUGCACUCCAUAAAGCAUAUCUUUCCGUGUACAAACUCAUGUUUGCAUGAAGGACGUAGUGAUUUCAGCAUCACAGAGCCAGGCAGCUCC
rnacentral:lncRNA from 1 species